rnacentral:rRNA from 1 species
UACGUAGGGUGCAAGCGUUAAUCGGAAUCACUGGGCGUAAAGGGCGUGUAGGCGGUCAGGUAAGUGAGACGUGAAAUGCCCCGGCUUACCCGGGGACCUGCGUCUCAUACUGCUUGGCUUGAGUACGGGAGAGGAUGUGGGAAUUCCUGGUGUAGCGGUGAAAUGCGUAGAUAUCAGGAGGAACACCGGUGGCGAAGGCGCACAUCUGGCCCGAUACUGACGCUGAGGCGCGAAAGCUAGGGGAGCGAACGGG